rnacentral:rRNA from 1 species
UACGUAGGUGGCAAGCGUUGUCCGGAUUUACUGGGCGUAAAGCGUAUGCAGGCGGAUGAGUAAGUAGGAAGUGAAAGGUUGGAGCUCAACUCUAACACGGCUCCCUAUACUGCUUGUCUUGAGUGCCGGAGAGGACAAGGGAACUUCACGUGUAGCGGUGAAAUGCGUUGAGAUGUGAAGGAACACCAAUGGCGAAAGCACUUGUCUGGACGGAAACUGACGCUGAGAUACGAAAGCUAGGGGAGCAAACGGG